GACGAACGCUGGCGGCGUGCUUAACACAUGCAAGUCGAACGAUGAAGCCGGAGCUUGCUCCGGUGGAUUAGUGGCGAACGGGUGAGUAACACGUGAGCAAUCUGCCCUUGACUCUGGGAUAACUGCGGGAAACUGUAGCUAAUACCGGAUACGACACCUUGGGGCAUCCCAGGGUGUGGAAAGAAUUUCGGUCAAGGAUGAGCUCGCGGCCUAUCAGCUAGUUUGUGAGGUAAUGGCUCACCAAGGCAACGACGGGUAGCCGGCCUGAGAGGGGAACCGGCCACACUGGAACUGAGACACGGUACAGACUCCUACGGGAGGCGGCAGUGGGGAAUAUUGCACAAUGGGCGAAAGCCUGAUGCAGCAACGCCGCGUGAGGGAUGAAGGCCUUCGGGUUGUAAACCUCUUUUAGCAGGGAAGAAGCGAAAGUGACGGUACCUGCAGAAAAAGCACCGGCUAACUACGUGCCAGCCGCCGCCGUAA
rnacentral:rRNA from 1 species